rnacentral:rRNA from 1 species
CCUACGGGAGGCAGCAGUGGGGAAUAUUGGACAAUGGGCGAAAGCCUGAUCCAGCCAUGCCGCGUGUGUGAAGAAGGCCUUCGGGUUGUAAAGCACUUUCAGUGGGGAAGAAAGCCUUGGGGCUAAUACCCUCGAGGAAGGACAUCACCCACAGAAGAAGCACCGGCUAACUCCGUGCCAGCAGCCGCGGUAAUACGGAGGGUGCGAGCGUUAAUCGGAAUUACUGGGCGUAAAGCGCGCGUAGGCGGUCUGAUAAGCCGGUUGUGAAAGCCCCGGGCUCAACCUGGGAACGGCAUCCGGAACUGUCAGGCUAGAGUGCAGGAGAGGAAGGUAGAAGUCCCGGUGUAGCGGUGAAAUGCGUAGAGAUCGGGAGGAAUACCAGUGGCGAAGGCGGCCUUCUGGACUGACACUGACGCUGAGGUGCGAAAGCGUGGGUAGCAAACAGGAUUAGAUACCCGGGUAGUC